rnacentral:rRNA from 1 species
CAGCCGCCGCGGGAAUACGAAGGGUGCAAGCGUUACUCGGAAUUACUGGGCGUAAAGCGUGCGUAGGCGGUUUGUUAAGUCUGUUGUGAAAUCCCCGGGCUCAACCUGGGAAUGGCAAUGGAUACUGGCAAGCUAGAGUGUGUCAGAGGAUGGUGGAAUUCCCGGUGUAGCGGUGAAAUGCGUAGAGAUCGGGAGGAACAUCAGUGGCGAAGGCGGCCAUCUGGGACAACACUGACGCUGAGGCACGAAAGCGUGGGAGCAAACAGGAUUAGAUACCCGCGUAGUCCCUGUCUCUUAUACA